rnacentral:sRNA from 1 species
AUUUCUCCACAUGUUAAAUCACAGUAGCAUUCAUUUUGCUAACAUAAAAUUAUCACAUAGACACAGAUUUUACCUUUUAACACAAUAAGAAAGCAUUUCUAAAAAUCAACGGCUACUAGAUUUGCCUAUCUCAGAGACUUGACAUCUUAUAAAGAUGUAUGGUGUGUCCAAGUUAAGAGAUCAUGAAUUCAUGAACAAUAUAUAGUUAAAUAUGGGGAGAUUCGUCGAUAUAUUGUUCAUAUAUUGUGCAGAGAGCGCAAUUGUUACAUGCUACUAACGCUAAAGAAACCUUAGUUCUACUUCUCUUCUGCAUCUAGCUGGUUGAAAUUCGUUCGUACUCUCCUUUUGCAUCGUUUGGUGAUCUUGAAGAGCUCUGAUUUCAUACCCAAAUAUGUUAUCUAGUUUCGUUUCAGUGAUUAUACCUGAUUUCUCUUCAGUGUUUUCUUUUAUGAAUUCUUGUAAGGUUUCUUUGUGUUUGUAUUCCAUGGAAAUCAUAACUGAAGAAUUGGCUUGUUUGAGUCAAUCUAGUUUAGACGUCGACAAAAAAAAAAACUACAAA